CUGCCCCGAACCCCAACCCUAACCCUCGAUCCCCUUCUUCCAGCCCCGCCGCCAUGGCCGCGCCGCCGCUGCCGACCAUUCCCGACGAGUUCCUGGAGGAGAUCUUCAUCCGCCUGCCCACCCCAGACGCGCUCGCCCGCGCCUCCGCCGCCUGCACCUCCUUCCGCCGGGUCAUCAAAGGCCGCGCCUUUCGCCGCCGCUUCCGCACGCUGCAUCGCCCUCCCUUCCUCGGCUUCAUGGACGCGGGCGGAUUCCACCCCGCCCAGGCGCCGCACCCCUCCGCCCCGCUCGCCGGCGCCCUCGCCCCCUCCUCCGCCGAUUUCUCCUUCGUCCCGGCCGUCGUUUCUUCUUCGUCCUACUACGUCCCUCCGGGCGCCCAAGAAGACGACGGGGAAGGCCCCCGCUGGCGCCCCCGCGAUGUCCGCGACGGCCGCGUCCUCCUCGAUUGGAGAUCCUUCUACCCCCGUUCCGUCCACAUGUGGAGCUACCGCGAAGACUGUGCCCGCCGUCAGGUAAGCAUCCUCAUGGACUCCAGUGAGCUCGGUGACGAAGAACGCUGUGCCCGCCCGACGUGGACCAAACGGGAGCGGUGCAACGCUGCCGACUUCCACCUCGCCGUCUGUGACCCGUUGUCCAGCAGAUACGUCUUGCUUCCAACCAUACCCGAGGACCUCGCCGCCCAACCGCAGGAUCGCCUCCAUGGAUUCGAGCCCGUGCUUGCUCCCAACACCAGGGACGACGGCGAGGAAGAGCCCUUCAAGGUGAUAUGCAUAGCAAGAUACAUGACGAAGCUUGUCCUCUUUGUGCUCCCGGCCACAACUAUGCGAUGGUCUAUGCUCGAGCCUCCCAUUUCACCUUCGUUGGAACGCAUGUCCUGUUUUGACUGCGCGUGUGGCUGCUUCUACUGGACAGAGCCUUAUGGCUAUAGUGACCAUUUGAUGGUGCUGGACACGCGCACUUUGAGGUUUUCCACUGUCGACCUUCUCACCGGCUGCCAUCUGGAGCUCAGCGAUCUGCCUGACGAGUGCUUUGCCCAUCGUCACGCAAAUGCCGUUGUGAUGGGCCGAGAAGGAGUCCUUGAGAUGUUUUCCCUUGUCGGUCAACAUGGAUCCUUUGCAUAGUUUUAAAUAGCGCGCUAAGCAUCUUAGCGGCGGACCUCUUCCAAAUGCUAUAGCGUGCUAUAGCGGAGCUAUAGCGCGCUAUUUAAAAUGUUUGUUCAUUUGUUUGGAUCAAAGUCUCUUAGCGCAAGACCUUUUGUAAACGCUAUAGCGUGCUAUAGCGGAGCUAUAGCGGGCUAUUUAAAACAGUGAUCCUUUGCCCUCUACCAUACCUCUCUGAAGAAUAGUUCACAGCAGUGGAAGCUAGAGAAGAUCAUACAGCUUCCUGGGCAGUAUCAUUCCAUUUGCACAAUGCGUGCAGCCGAGGGAUUCUUGUUCUUCCGAGGCGCUCCAGAAGGUAUUCAUGUUGGGAAUGUGGAUUGCUACUCAAUGGAGGUCAAGACUUAUGAAAUUACCAAAGUCUGCACAAAGAUGGAGAAUACCUUCAAUCCCACACGUGCCCUCCCAUACUUUAGCUUCCCACUGCUGUUAUCAGAACCAACUAUCUGAUCAACUGAUCUGAGCUUGCUUGCUAGUCGUUUUGGUCUUGCUUGGGCGAUCUAUACCUGGGGUUGGAUGGCGGAUGUUCAAGAUUGUGCUGAUGUGGUUUGAUAUGUCUGCAUUAGUAUGAUUGUAAGCAGGAUAUGCUGUCAGCAAGUUGAGUUUGACCAACAGUGAGGUCUAAGACUCCGGUUUAUAUUAUGUACUGAUGUUUGUGCUGGAAGACUUCGGUUUAUGUCCCCCCUUUUAAUCCAUCUCCUUAGUCUAGAACUCUAGAUGAACACUGAAUGUAAGCAGGAUAUGCUGUCAGCAAGUUGAUGCUUUUAUCUGCAUGAGUGAAUGAAUUUGUUAAUUUCUCUGAUUAGGAUGCUUCUGGUGAGUUCAUCUGUAACCCUGCAAUUUCUGGAUGUUUUGCGCAAAUGAUGGCUGGCUGUAAUAGAGAUGGAUAUCAUACAAGCAUCA